rnacentral:misc_RNA from 1 species
GACGUAGGGAGCGAGCGUUGUCCGGAUUCAUUGGGCGUAAAGCGCGCGUAGGCGGCCACGCAAGUCGGUUGUGAAAUCCCGGGGCUCAACCCCGGGACUGCGUCCGAUACUGCGUGGCUCGAGGCAGGUAGGGGAGAUCGGAAUUCCUGGUGUAGCGGUGAAAUGCGCAGAUAUCAGGAGGAACACCGGUGACGAAGGCGGAUCUCUGGGCCUGUCCUGACGCUGAGGCGCGAAAGCUAGGGGAGCAAACAGG